CGGGCCUACGGGGGCAGCAGUGAGGAAUAUUGGUCAAUGGCCGAGAGGCUGAACCAGCCAAGUCGCGUGAGGGAAGAAUGUCCUAUGGAUUGUAAACCUCUUUUGUCAGGGAGCAAAGUCACCCACGUGUGGGUGUUGGAGAGUACCUGAAGAAAAAGCAUCGGCUAACUCCGUGCCAGCAGCCGCGGUAAUACGGAGGAUGCGAGCGUUAUCCGGAUUUAUUGGGUUUAAAGGGUGCGUAGGCGGGUUAUCAAGUCAGCGGUAAAAUCGUGGAGCUCAACCCCGGCGAGCCGUUGAAACUGUCG
rnacentral:rRNA from 1 species